rnacentral:rRNA from 1 species
AGUGAACGCUGGCGGUAGGCCUAACACAUGCAAGUCGAACGGCAGCACAGUAAGAGCUUGCUCUUACGGGUGGCGAGUGGCGGACGGGUGAGGAAUACAUCGGAAUCUACUUUUUCGUGGGGGAUAACGUAGGGAAACUUACGCUAAUACCGCAUACGACCUACGGGUGAAAGCAGGGGAUCUUCGGACCUUGCGCGAUUGAAUGAGCCGAUGUCGGAUUAGCUAGUUGGCGGGGUAAAGGCCCACCAAGGCGACGAUCCGUAGCUGGUCUGAGAGGAUGAUCAGCGACACUGGGACUGAGACACGGUCCAGACUCCUACGGGAGGCAGCAGUGGGGAAGAGUGGACAAUGGGCGCAAGCCUGAUCCAGCCAUAGCGCGUGGGUGAAGAAGGCCUGCGGGUUGUAAAGCCCUUUUGUUGGUAAAGAAAAGCAGCAGGUUAAUACCCCGCUGUGCUGACGGUACCCAAAGAAUAAGCACCGGCUAACUUCGUG